UUCAAGAUCAAAAGUCCAUAAAACAAUUCAAAAUAGGAGCAGAGCAAACACGGACCUCCAAAACAUCAGAGGUGGGAUCAGGUGCCAUGGAGGAGUGAGCAUCCCAUGCCAACCGGUCACACCCGCCGUGUGCUCCUUGUCAGCAAGGUCUAAAGUCUCUAAUGUUAAUAAUAUACCAUGGGUCCCACGACAACGUGUUGAGACAAGACCACAGGCAUUGUGAAGAUGAAAUCGGUAUUUUUUGCAAGGUUUUCUAGCCAUAAAAUUGGGAGACAUUUAUAAAGAAUAUCAGUUUUAUAAAGAUAAAAUAUGCAAAGUAAAGCAAGUAAAUAUUAACAAAUUAAAUUCUUAUUUUUAAGCUGAUGACGAUUUACGAUUGCCAAUCAUCGUCACAUCCUCCGUUGUUGGACUUCUUUUGAUCGUUAUGAUAUUUGCCUGUUUCAUUACAAGAGUAUGUAAAAGAAAACGAAAUCAAGAAAAAAGUUCCACAACAGAGGAAAUUGUUAUGAUUACCUCAGAUCUUUAUUCUGAACCAAUUCCUGCAUCGGGUGAAAAUAAAAUGAAAACAAAGGAUCACAUCAUUGCUGAAGACGAAUCAGCCUAUUCUGUAGCUGAUACGAAUGACAAUGAGUACUCACAACCCCUCGUCAACAGGGACAAUCGAACGGGACAGGUGCGUUUUAAACACUCCAAAAAUACAUCAUCGAAUUGUGAUAUUUAUGACAGGACAAAUAAUGUUGUCUCUGGUAUUUAUGACGUCACUUCGAACACGCUGAACAAGAACGAAUACGCAAUGACAGAUAACGACUGAAAUCAACAAUGCA